GGUAGCGCAUAGCGCAUCUGCCUUGUACGCGCUAGGUCGCGGGUUCGAUUCCCGCCC
rnacentral:tRNA from 1 species